rnacentral:rRNA from 1 species
CCCGCUGAACUUAAGCAUAUCAAUAAGCGGAGGAAAAGAAACCAACAGGGAUUGCCUUAGUAACGGCGAGUGAAGCGGCAAAAGCUCAGAUUUGAAAUCUGGUGCCAUAAUGGCAUCUGAGUUGUAAUCUGUAGAGGAGUAUUCGAGUGUGGCUCUGGCUUAAGUUCCUUGGAACAGGGCGUCAAAGAGGGUGAGAACCCCGUUUGCGGCCUUUGUCCUAUGCUCAUGUGAAUCUCCUUCAACGAGUCGAGUUGUUUGGGAAUGCAGCUCUAAAUGGGUGGUAAAUUCCAUCUAAAGCUAAAUACUGGCAAGAGACCGAUAGCGCACAAGUAGAGUGAUCGAAAGAUGAAAAGCACUUUGGAAAGAGAGUCAAAAAGUACGUGAAAUUGUUGAAAGGGAAGCGCUUGCAACCAGACCUGCCUGCAGUUGCUCAUCCGGGCUUUUGCCCGGUGCACUCUUCUGCUGUCAGGCCAGCAUCAGUCCGGGCGGUCGGAUAAAGGCUUCGGGAAUGUAGCUCCUCUCGAGGAGUGUUAUAGCCCGUUGCGAAAUGCGGCCAGCUUGAACUGAGGUCCGCGCUUCGGCUAGGAUGCUGGCGUAAUGGUUGUAAGCGGCCCGUCUUGAAACACGG